rnacentral:rRNA from 1 species
AGUGAACGCUGGCGGUAGGCCUAACACAUGCGAGUCGAACGGCAGCACAGUAAGAGCUUGCUCUUACGGGUGGCGAGUGGCGGACGGGUGAGGAAUACAUCGGAAUCUACUUUUUCGUGGGGGAUAACGUAGGGAAACUUACGCUAAUACCGCAUACGACCUACGGGUGAAAGCAGGGGAUCUUCGGACCUUGCGCGAUUGAAUGAGCCGAUGUCGGAUUAGCUAGUUGGCGGGGUAAAGGCCCACCAAGGCGACGAUCCGUAGCUGGUCUGAGAGGAUGAUCAGCCACACUGGAACUGAGACACGGUCCAGACUCCUACGGGAGGCAGCAGUGGGGAAUAUUGGACAAUGGGCGCAAGCCUGAUCCAGCCAUACCGCGUGGGUGAAGAAGGCCUUCGGGUUGUAAAGCCCUUUUGUUGGGAAAGAAAAGCAGCAGGUUAAUACCCCGCUGUUCUGUCGGUACCCAAAGAAUAAGCACCGGCUAACUUCGUG